CUCGCAUCAGAUCCCUUCCAGGCCACCACGCCACACCACCAGAUCCCAUCGCCGCCGCCUCGCACUCGCAUCCCAUCGCCGCCGCCCGUGCGUUCUCGAUCGGAGAGGACGCUCCCUUCGCCGCCGCUGAGAUCCGAGAAGAGUCGCCCUUCGCCGGCGCCAAGAUCCUGUGCCUCUCUAAAGACCCCUCUCUCUCGCGACACCGCCUCCCUUACAAGGACGCCACGCCAUGGGUCUCCAUCGGUGCCACGACUGCCACGGCCUCCCCACCUGCCGACGCUCUAGAUCCGGCCGUAGUUGAUUCCAUGUACAUCAUCUCAAGGAGGAGGGGCGUGAGGCGGUUGCCGCCGCCGGUGGCUGCACUUGAAGGUCUCCGCCGCUUGCUCCAACCAGAUCCAGCCAGACCGUCCUGUGGUGGUCCACGUGCAUCUGGACGGACGCAACGGCUUUGCCUCCCCUGUCCCAUGUCUUCGUCCACCACACCAUCCCAUUGCGCUGCUGCUACCCGGGCUCACAUGACCCCGUGGAGGAAGGAGCUGCGCAAGGAAUCACUGUCAAAAGACUCGAGAUGAGUUUGGAGUAUCAUGGAUUCCAGGCCAUGUUCCGCAAGGACGAAGCAACGCGAGCUAGCCGAGGGUUCAGAUUGACGUUCGCUUUGAUUCUCGUUGAUUCAUUGUUUUGACCGACCCAAGCAGCGCCGGCGCUCACGGAGGAGAACCUGAUGUUCCUAGAGGCCUGACGCGCGGUCGAUCACACUUACUACGACAAGUCCUCCAACGGGUGGAGCUGGUUCAGGUACCACAAGCACCCUCCAUGAAAAGCAGGUUCCAGCUGUGCAAAGUCUACCUGCUACUGCUAUCCAUACUGCGCCAUAACAAAAUAGCUUUGGAUCAGGACUAACCUCUAGCCAGGAAAGAACCUGAAUCCCAAGUCGACGGCCCAUGCGGUGCCCACGUCCGCGUCAUUAGUGCUGCUAAGGGGCGCUUCACCCUGUUCGGCAUUAUCUUCUAUUCUUCCUACGGCUGCAAGAACCCUCACCUUGGCUAUGGCAGAUGCGACAGAUAAAGCAGGAGAUGGAUGAAAUGCUGCUGAGACGUUACAGGAUAUUCCAGCAGAGGCAUCCUUACCGUCCGCAUUACAAGGAUAUGAGAACAUUGGGGUCCUGAAGGCAGUGACCUGUUUACCAUACACAUAUUUACUUCCUUUCUAGGGCGGAACAAUGGAAGGCACAAUUCCAAAUUUUCAAGUACAGCUCUUCAAGAACAGGAUCUCUGAAGGAACAACAAUUUACAAGCUUGGCGCUUACCAGGUUCAGUAUGCUAAGGAAAGAUACAAAACUGUAGAUCGUCCAUGGAGAGUAGUGUUUGCCCAAAAAACUACCGUGGAACCAAUUGUGCCUCAGCCACCAAACUUUCCCAAGUAUGGAUAUACCACCUACAAUGUACACAGUACCAAAGCUGCAUUAAACAAAUCGUUUUGUUGUCAGUUACCAGCAUCACAAGAAUAUUUGCGCCGAGCGGCGGAUCGAUUGACCAGAUAUGAGAAAAUCACAUCACAAAUAAUUCCCGCCGUUGUGAUGUUUUGGGGAAAAUUAGCAGAUGCCCUUGAUGCAGACAAGCUACAACGGUGGUCUGCUCAAGAACCCAUUAUAGUUCUAUUUGUUGGCAUGCCAGUACAUGAAUUUAAUGUAAGAAACUUGACCUUCAAGUCCUGUCUGGCAACUCGAUGGUACAUAAAUCCAACUAUUUCUGAAGCGGCAGCUAUUCUAGGAAGAUCUACUGCAAGAUCCCAUCAAAUUGAGAUAAGCACCGGCUCACAGGGUCAUCGCUAGGCAACAAAUACAACAAACACAUAAUUAUCAGCCGUUGACCCUGGUGGAAUCAUGGACCAGUACUAUAAACUGGAAAUAAAGAGAACUGAAGUGUCCCCUUCCAUGGCGUUGGGGGGCCUUUCUCUGCCAGGCGCGGUGGCUCCUUGGUAGGUCGAUGCAGCUUGCUCGGCGGAGGCUAGGAGGCUCGUCGGCCGACAUUUCGUUGAUGCAUGGGUGCCAUAUUGCGAUGGAACGGCAGUAUAAUAUACAAAACUUUGACGAGGCUCACCUGCUUCAAAAUUUCACAAUAAGUCCAAUCAAGACAACUUGCAACUUUGGUGUUGUCACAUUGGAGUCCGUGCUGAGCAGCAAUGGGAGACUGUCGUUGAUGCCCGACCCAUGAUGCCGACGAAGGAACGAGAGUCGAUGAGGAGUAGACGCCAUGGGUUUGUGAACUGGCCAAGCCACCGUUGUCCGUUUGGUAAUGUGACUUGCCCUGAUUUUGACGUCGGUCUACCAACAUCCGACGAAGGGAACCCGUCCCGGUUUCCAUCUUGAUGGUAAGUUCUCUAAUCUUCUAUCUCAUGGGAUGUGAUGUGGUUGCCUUCAUUUUGGCUUUUGACAAAGGGUUGAAAUUAGCUUAUGUGCUUCCGACGAUUGAAAUUCCAGUUAUAUUAUCAACCUUCAGCGAGCAGUGACAACGAACUCCAUCCCCCCACCACACCACACCCAUGUUUCAUUUGAUGUGCUUUAAGCCAUGUUUCAGCUUGUCUCGACACAGCAUGUAUUUUUUGUUUCAGUUGUUGAGCUCCGCACUACAAAACUGAGAAAGACCCAUAACUUUUUACAGGAUCGUUUCUACAUACUACAAAUAGAGGGAAGUUGGCUUGUGCCUUACUAGAGACAGAUGAACCAAUAAAAUGAUUGGAAAGGCUCUUUCCAAGCAUAAGAGGAGCUUUUGAAGGGACUGAAGAACCGGAACCUCCCCUCCUCCCUCCCGCGACGCUCCCGCAGGCGUCCGGGGGGCAACCCUAGCACCGCCGCCGGUCCCCCCUCCUCUCCCUCCGCCCUCGCGGCCGCCCGGGGGCGCGAGCGGACGAAGCCCGCUCAUCGCUGGCGGCGGCGGGGCCUUCUCGUCUCCGCGCGUGGGGGUUUCUGUGAGGGUCGGACGCCUCUGGCCGGAUGUGGCGCUUGGCGCUGGCCGUGGCAGCUCGGCAGCGCGCCGAUGUGGGCUGUCGGCGGCGCAUGCCAGCGAUGCGAUGGGCAGUGCGGUGGUGGUGCAGGCUGGAGGCUGGUGGUGGCGGCGGCGCGCCCAGAUCCGCCUCUGGCGCCGCGAGUUGCGGGCGACCUGGGUCGCGGUCGGCCUUCCCUAC